rnacentral:lncRNA from 1 species
AUUCCAAACAUAACCAACAAAAAAAAUCAUAUAUCAAACAAUAGAAGCUAGAUUACAAGUAACAAAUAAAUGUGAGGUUGAUUCAAGUCAAUCCUCACAAAGGAUACAAGAGAUACCCUUUGGGUCAAUAAUGAGCUUCUGCUUAAGAAGGUUUUUCCAAGUCAGGAAUCUGAUUUGCUGACGCUACCAAGAAAUGACCACAACCUUUGAGAGAGUCCAAUUAUCCCAAAUAAGGGGAAAUUUGGUUUAUCUCUAGAUAAAAGGGCCUCAUGUAAAGAACAAAGGCAAACUUGAAUUUGAUAAGUAAAUGCCACGAAGAAUAAAUCAUAUAUAGUAUGUCUCUAAGCAUAUCUAUCACUUUCCUCUCUAAACUAAAAAUCUUGUAAACCCAAGAAGAAAUCAAAGACCUUAAAUUCUUUAUGGAUGAAGAACAAUCUCCUCCAACAAAGGUCAAUUCUUCCCAACUUCCAAUCACACCCACAGAAACUUAUUGCCUUUGAAAAAUGGUGAAUAGUUUUUGAUAUCUAGUCCUAUGAGGUAUACUCCUUAUACAAGGGUCUUCCUAAAAAGAUGACUGAAGGCAUGUCCCAACCUUCUUAAUAAAACCUACCUUAAACAAGUUAGGAGGGUCUUUAGUUUUAUAUCUAAGAAGAGACAAAUUUUCCAUAAAGAGGAGGCAGAGCAAGACACCAAGAAUCGAUCCCUGCACAAAGAGGUGACGAUGAGGUGCAUAUACUUGGUAGAAUGGAUAUUAAAACAAAGACCAGAUGCAUCUGAUAAAAGUCUCGACCUCCAUUUAGCCAAGAGAGCUAGAUUAACCAUUCAGAUAUCUCUAACACCUAAGCCUCGGUUUCUCUUAAAUUAACACGCAUGAGACCAUCUCGCCCAUGAAAUCUUAGAAUCCUCUUUCAUACCUCCUUAAAUGAAACUCCUAAUAAUCCUAAUUCGCUUAUUCAACACUUUCACAAAUAUUAUAAAAAUAUAAAAAUUGCUCUGAUAUUAUUUUGAUUUUUAUUUUAAUUCGUCAACUAAUAUUUCAUUAUUAAAAACAUUACUUGACUCAGGUACAAGUACUAUAUGUACUCUGUUGUGAGAUUUUAUUUAUAAUUUAGCACAUUACAAAUGUAUAAAAAAAACACAUGUUACUGGAUUUAAAAAUUAAAUACUUGUUUAGAUUUUUCAUGGGAUGUUCAUUACCUAUUAUUGAGGCCAAAUUAGAACCGAAUGCAAGACAUAUAUGGCCACAUUCAUACAUAUAUUGUAAUAACUUUGUUUCAAUAUUAACUUGCAAAUGAUCCAUGUGACAUCUAUAGACCAUGUCGGGAAUAACUUACAUAACUAAAACCAAGGGAGAGAGAUGAGCUCUAACUUCUCUCUAGAAUUCAAAAACCCUAACAACAAAAAAUCCAAAACAUUAACAUUUUAUUACCUAAAUCAUUUUCAUUCUCUCUUCACUUUCUAAAAACCCUAGAGAUUCCCCAUCAUGGAAUGGAAGAAGGUCACUCGAAGAGAAAAAAAGGGAAAGAAGGAUAUCAGGAUAUCAGGAUGAAACCACUUAGUAUAGAAGGUGAAGAGAAGAUUAUCUGCUUGAGAGAGUUACUAAUUUUCAUUUUCAUUAUACUUUUAUAAUACAUAAUUGUUGGUUGUUUUUUCUAUUGGGACUUAGGUCCUCCACUUCUAAAAAAAAUGUCACAAAUAUCAUCACAUAUUUUAAUUAAAACCAAUAUUUUUACUAUUAUGCAACAUAAAAUUUUGUUCCAAUUUGUUUUUUUUUCUUUAGCGAGUCCAAAGUAAACAAGUUAAAAUUUGCACAGUUAUUGCAUAAAAUUAUAGGUGUGGAAAUAACAUAAAAACUAUUUCAAACUAAAUAUUAAAAAAUAAAAUAGGAAAGAAAAUCUGAUAUCAUAGAGGUGAAGAGUCACAAAGAUAUCUCCGAAAUUAAGAGAGAAGAAGAUAAUUUACAUUAUAUUAUAUGUUUUUAUUUUUGGUAUAUAUUUUUUUCAUUAACAUCACUUUAGAGUAGAUCCAUAAUAACAAGGCCAGUGAAAUUAUAAAAAAAAUAAGAAAACUAAAGUAUUACGUCUCAACAAGACAAUUAAAUAACAACUCAUGAAAUAUUCAAGAAUGUGUUUUGUACUCUUUUGGGUUUGAUACUCAAAAACAUACACAGAAGCCAUAAUAACACUUUGGUUUUUUACCACGAUUGCACAUAUUUUUGCGACAAUCAGCAACGGUAACACAUUCAUUACCCCACGCUAUAAUGAAAAAAGAAAAAGAAAAGGUUAUUAAAAUAUGAAAAAGUAUUAUCUAUAGAAUAAAGAGGAAAAAGGAUAAAAAUUACUUACCAUUAACACUCGAGAUAACAAGAAGAAAAGAAAGAAAGAUUAACAUAAUAUAAACAAAGUUAAUUAAUUUUGCCAUACUUUCCACCCUCUGCUUUUAUCGAAUAGGAUAUGUUUUAUCAAAUUUGGAUUUAUAAAUCUAAUAUUCUUCUUACAGCAAUUUAAUAAUUUUUAUUAUUAAUAGAUUUUAUUAUACAUAUAACGUAUCGAGUUCUUAAGGAACUUU